rnacentral:rRNA from 1 species
UACGUAGGGCGCAAGCGUUAUCCGGAAUUAUUGGGCGUAAAGAGCUCGUAGGCGGUUUUGUCGCGUCUGCCGUGAAAAGUCCGGGGCUCAACUCCGGAUCUGCGGUGGGUACGGGCAGACUAGAGUGAUGUAGGGGAGACUGGAAUUCCUGGUGUAGCGGUGAAAUGCGCAGAUAUCAGGAGGAACACCGAUGGCGAAGGCAGAUCUCUGGGCCGUAACUGACGCUGAGGAGCGAAAGCAUGGGGAGCGAACAGG